UACAGAGGUCUCAAGCGUUGUUCGGAUUCAUUGGGCGUAAAGGGUGUGUAGGCGGCGCGCUAAGUCGGGUGUGAAAUUUCGGAGCUUAACUCCGAAACUGCAUUCGAUACUGGCGUGCUUGAGGACUGGAGAGGAGACUGGAAUUUACGGUGUAGCAGUGAAAUGCGUAGAUAUCGUAAGGAAGACCAGUGGCGAAGGCGGGUCUCUGGGCAGUUCCUGACACUGAGACGCGAAAGCCAGGGGAGCAAACGGG
rnacentral:rRNA from 1 species